UAGAAGGACUGAGGUCCCUGAGAGUGGAAACACCAACAGGAGAAAUCCCCGUUCCCUCGGGCAGCAAUGCCAGCCUGCACAGCGUCGCUUUGGAAGAGGUUCGGCAGUGUCAUAUACAGGCAGGCGCAGACUCACAGUACGACUCAGAAACACUCUUCCGGGGACUCACCUAACCGAUUUAAAAGUUUAUGUCCACAGAUGCCUAUAAAAGUUUGUAGCAGUUCUCUGCAGGGUGGCUGAAGGACCGGACGCAGCCGGGAUGUCGCCCAGUAGCUGAAUGCUGGACCCGGCUCCGGCACGCUGGGGGCUGCUCCGCAAUCCACGGCCAUGUGCGGGGCCAUCCACGCACGCCGAGGGGAUCACAGGUGCCCUGGACCAGCGAGAGAACCAGAGGAAACAGGCUGUGAUAUCCUGGGAAGGGUCAGAAUUACAGGGAGAGGAGGACUGAUCCACGCUCGCCCGGAGCUGAGGGAAAGAGGUGUUUAAUGAGCGGCGCUGGGCAGUUUGGGGUGGUUCGGAGGGGUAGAUCCGUGCCGCUGUGCGUUUAUCAAAACCCAGAGCCCAGCAGCGGAGAGAGCGAGCCCCAAACGUGCAGAUUUAAAAGUCAGCAGAGGUCAAGAGGCCCAGGAUAGAACGCAGUCUGACGUUACAAACACACGACAUCACCUCACCGAGGGCGCUGGGCAGAGGCAGACAGGCGCAGCCCCAACUAGCUUUGGAAAGCGGCGUUUUAACUGGAAACCAAAAAAGAAAAGACAAAAGGAACCGAACAUAAGCACUUUAGUCAGCAAAGCUGUUUCCUGGGUAAAACACAUUGCCGUUAAUCACCCUCGGAAUCCUCAGAAUACCUCAUCUGCUUCGAAUACACUUCUCCUACCGUUCUUGCUCCCCGUGGGGAUGUGACCGUGGUGGACCGCAAGCGUGGAGAGACAAGAAACAAACUGCAAGAAGCUACAGCUGGAGGCGUCAGUGUGAACUCGAUAUGGCUGAGCAGGUCCGGAAGUCGCAGGCCGCCGUGUCUCCCAGCUCCGAUUGCUGAGACAGAAGCAGUGGCAUCUCGGUGGUGCCAGGCACACCUCGCGCCCGGAUUGCGGGUGCUAACGCCGACCCACAGGGAGCCAGGGCCCCACGAGAAAUGCUGAUGCCAGCUGGGCGAGGAUGUGGUGCGCACAGACCAGCAUGUAAGGAAGGGCGCAGUCAGCAGUGACGUCAGAGGGACCCGGGCACCGCCUCCAGGGCUCCCCAGACCCCGACCCGGAACAGUCUGAGCAGUGAAGUCAGACAAAUCGGAACGUAAGGGCAUCCCAUCCAACAUCUGCCCAGCACUGCUUUGAUGUCACGUGCAUCAGAAACAAGAGAAGCCCUAGACGCGGUGACAGCCAAGGGCAGAGUUGGAGACACAGUGCCUAAAGGGAUGGAACGGAACCCAAGGAAUGGAAUCUUGGGAGAGGAAAGGGCACAGGAGAAGGAAGAGUGGUGAAAUCUAAAUAAAGUUGCGGAUGCGCUAACAAUGCUGUCAGUACUGGCUCUUCACUGGGACGCAUGCACCUCAGUAACGGAAGGAA